UACGUAGGCAGCGAGCGUUGUUCGGAGUUACUGGGCGUAAAGGGUGUGUAGGCGGUUGUUUAAGUUUGGUGUGAAAUCUCCCGGCUCAACUGGGAGGGUGCGCCGAAUACUGAAUGACUUCGAGUACGGGAGAGGUGAGUGGAAUUCCUGGUGUAGCGGUGAAAUGCGUAGAUAUCAGGAGGAACACCGGUGGUGUAGACGGCUCACUGGACCGUAACUGACGCUGAGACACAAAAGCGUGGGUAGCAAACAGG
rnacentral:rRNA from 1 species